rnacentral:pre_miRNA from 1 species
UUGCGUUGAAAGGGGCUUGCAUAUUCUACCACCCGCUUGAGCAGUGUCGCAUCAACCUAGGAUUUGCUGGGCCUCGCUCCACCGCUG